rnacentral:rRNA from 1 species
UCCAGACUCCUACGGGAGGCAGCAGUGAGGAAUAUUGGUCAAUGGGCGCGAGCCUGAACCAGCCAAGUCGCGUGAGGGAUGACGGCCCUACGGGUUGUAAACCUCUUUUGUCGGGGAGCAAAUUCCGCCACGUGUGGCGGAGUCGAGAGUACCCGAAGAAAAAGCAUCGGCUAACUCCGUGCCAGCAGCCGCGGUAAUACGGAGGAUGCGAGCGUUAUCCGGAUUUAUUGGGUUUAAAGGGUGCGUAGGCGGAGUGUCAAGUCAGCGGUAAAAUUGCGGGGCUCAACCCCGUCGUGCCGUUGAAACUGACACCCUUGAGUGAGUGAGAAGUAAGCGGAAUGCGUGGUGUAGCGGUGAAAUGCAUAGAUAUCACGCAGAACGCCGAUUGCGAAGGCAGCAUACCGGCGCCCAACUGACGCUGAAGCACGAAAGCGUGGGUAUCGAACAGGAUUAGAUACCCGGGUA